GCUCAGAGUAUAAGCCAAUGGAGCUUGGAAGGCUUCCGCAUAUCCCGUUCAUCACAUGUGGUGUUCGCAAGGCAUGAAGCGCGGUUCGUUAGGUGGAGCAUUGAGUUUGCCAACUUAACUGUCGUGCGGGGAGGCGGUUCGGGUGUUUUAGGCUUCGGCCGAACAGCGCCCGGCCGUCUCCUUUGGAAUGAGCGUUCAGAGCUUCCGUGUCUAAUGCGGUCACGCCCACCACGGCCCGUUGUGAGGUCACCCACAGGCUCAAACAGCCGAUCGCGCAUCCAGGACGAUGUGGCAAAGACGCGUUGUGUUCUUUUUGACUGGCUCUAUUGUUUGUGUCGGCUGUGACGCGUGCCUAGUCCUGGGUCGGGCGGCGACCGAGAUAAACCUGGUAUGAUCCUCAUGCGACGAGUUGCUUUCUGGCCAGACCGACGUCCAGGCGCUUCCACUGUGCCGGAAGCGUCAACCCCAGGCGGUGUGAACCCAGCUGCAUUUCGCAAGGUCUCUCAGCCGGGCGUUGGUCUGAGUGGUGUUAAGUCCAGCACCGUCGGUCACGUCUCGAAACACGGGCCAAGGAGUAUAGCAUGUGUGCAAGUCUAAGGGUCUCCCAAAACCCGAAGGCGAAGUGAAAGCAAGACUGUGGCGGGGGAGCUACGGCGAACCCGCCGGCCAAGUGGCGGCGCUUGCGUUGCCUGGCUUAUAACAGAGCUGAUCCUGCUUUGUCGGUUAAUUCUUGGUGCAGGCGCAAGCUCCGGGCUCACGUACAACACCGGUGACGCCUCGUG
rnacentral:rRNA from 1 species